UACGAGGGGGGCUAGCGUUGUUCGGAAUCACUGGGCGUAAAGGGCGCGUAGGCGGCCCUCCUUGUCGCGUGUGAAAGCCCCGGGCUCAACCUGGGAACGGCGCGCGAGACGGGGGGGCUGGAGUUCGGGAGAGGAGCGUGGAAUUCCCAGUGUAGAGGUGAAAUUCGUAGAUAUUGGGAAGAACACCGGUGGCGAAGGCGGCGCUCUGGACCGAGACUGACGCUGAGGCGCGAAAGCGUGGGGAGCAAACAGG
rnacentral:rRNA from 1 species